rnacentral:rRNA from 1 species
GCCUAGCCUUAAACCUAAAUAGUCAACAUAACAAUACUAUUCGCCAGAGUACUACUGGCAACAGCUUAAAACUCAAAGGACUUGGCGGUGCUUCAUAUCCCUCUAGAGGAGCCUGUUCUAUAAUCGAUAAACCCCGAUACACCUCACCAGCUCUUGCUAAUACAGCCUAUAUACCGCCAUCUUCAGCGAACCCUUAAAAGGAGCCAAAGUAAGCAAAAACACACAAACGUAAAAACGUUAGGUCAAGGUGUAGCCCAUGAGCCGGGAAGAAAUGGGCUACAUUUUCUACCCUAGAACACUAAACGGAAGUUUUCGUGAAACCGAAAAUAUGAAGGAGGAUUUAGUAGUAAAUUGAGAAUAGAGAGCUCAAUUGAACUAGGCCAUGAAGCACGC